CUACCUGGUAUCAGACAUUGUGCAAGAUGCUUUGAUUCCAUGUGAUCUACUAACAACCUGUGAGGUCUUGGUUAUUGUCCUGUUUUAUGGUUAAGAGACCUGAGACUCAGUAGAGGAAUUUGUCAUCAUGAAAGUUAUAUUAUGUUAAAUAAUUGCCCUCUAUUGAAUAUUUGCCCCAUAAGAGGAACAGGAAAAGGGUUAUAAUGAAUCACUGACAUCACAAGAUCAUGUAUUUGACCUAGAUGCCUCUGAAUCAGCUCUGCAACUAGGACUUCAAGGUUUCAACUGCACUGGUCCAUGGACUUUCUUCCACCUCUGCCACCUAUAGGACAGUAGGACCAACCCCUCUUCUUCCUCAUCCUCCUCAGCCUACUCAACGUGAAGAUGUUGAGGAUGAAGACCUUUAUGAUGAUCCAAUUCCACUUAAUGAAUAGAUGUAAACAUCUCUUAUCUGGACAGUCAGAUCAUAUUUAUUCUCCAAGAUUGUGAAUAUCUGAUUCAUCCCUACAUACAGCCUUAAUGGCUAAACCUUCGGUCUCCAUUGCGGAAGGCACAGCCACAGUAGGAAAUACCACUUUGGCUUCUGUACCCUGGCUGGAACAAUAAUUCCACACCUGUUAUUUGCAGCAGCCCAGCAGAAAUUAAACCAAGAGUUGAGUUCUACCCACU